UGAGUGGUGGCAGAGAUAAUGGUGAGAAGGUCAUAUGCCCAUUGGUCCCCUCUGGGUGGGGAUCAUAUGAUCGAUCCUAGCUUAAUUUAAUGAAGGACAGUGUGCGUGUGAGUGUCUGCCGAAGCUUUUAUGAUGAGAAAGGGAGAGGCAUUUGACUGCUUAUAUAUGGCUUUGGGUCCAACUCUCCUUUAGUUCUCAAAAAGGAGAAAACGUUUAGGUCCUGUGCAUCUUCUUCAAGUGAGCUGGAGGAUUGGUUGUUUGCAUUGACUUCGUUUGUUUUCAUGCAUGCGUUCAGGACCCACAGACAAAUUAAGAUCUGCUCUCGUAUCCUUUACGAAGCUAGGAAACAGAAUGGUGGGCAAAUUGAGAGAUGGAAUUGCCAACCUGAGGCCUGAGCAUUGGAAGCUAGCUAGAGAAGAUAAUGCAUCGUAUUGAAACAAUCCACAGGAUCCGUGUUGAGCUCUAGAUCUGAUUCAACGAUAACUCUAGCAACAGGAAAUUUUUAUAACGUGCAUGACGCCGGUUGAUCGAGCCACCUACUCUUUGUUGGUUACGAUACACGUGAGAUGUGAUAAUGCACGGAUUUACGAAGAAGAGCACAUUCAAUGAAUAUCUCUCAUAUCAUUUCUAGGGGGGCCAACAAGCUCUAGCCAAGUAACUAUGAGACACCAUGCAUUUUCCAUGUACAUGCAUAAAAACUUCGGUAGAAGCAUGACAUG
rnacentral:lncRNA from 1 species